UACGUAGGGACCCAGCGUUGUUCGGAUUUACUGGGCGUAAAGGGCGCGUAGGCGGCAAUUCAAGUCAGCUGUGAAAUCUCCGGGCUUAACUCGGAACGGUCAGCUGAUACUGCUUUGCUAGAGUGCGGAAGGGGCAAUCGGAAUUCUCGGUGUAGCGGUGAAAUGCGUAGAUAUCAAGAGGAACACCUGAGGUGAAGACGGGUUGCUGGGCCGACACUGACGCUGACAGCGCGAAAGCCAGGGGAGCAAACGGG
rnacentral:rRNA from 1 species